CGGGUGAGUAACGCGUGGGUAACCUGCCUCAUACAGGGGAUAACAGUUAGAAAUGGCUGCUAAUACCGCAUAAGACCACAGCACUGCAUGGUACAGUGGUAAAAACUCCGGUGGUAUGAGAUGGACCCGCGUCUGAUUAGGUAGUUGGUGAGGUAACGGCCCACCAAGCCGACGAUCAGUAGCCGACCUGAGAGGGUGACCGGCCACAUUGGGACUGAGACACGGCCCAG
rnacentral:rRNA from 1 species